AGCUCCACACUUGCUGGAUCAGAUUGGGACAACACCAUCCGGAGGUAGUCGAUCAAGAGGAGGUGUUAGUUGGUACAGUGCUUGUGCCGAUCACUGUCUUGUUUCCAAUGCUGGAAGCUGUGGGAGUCUCGGCUGGGGAAUUUGAGAUCGAUUGAGGAAUUGGUGUAGGGCUUCUUGGUAGCUGCCGGCAGAGGUCUUGUUGGGCUGUGAGAUUUGGAUUUUGCUACCAAACCUUAAGG